rnacentral:rRNA from 1 species
AUUGAACGCUGGCGGCAGGCCUAACACAUGCAAGUCGAGCGGAUGAAGGGAGCUUGCUCCUGGAUUCAGCGGCGGACGGGUGAGUAAUGCCUAGGAAUCUGCCUGGUAGUGGGGGAUAACGUCCGGAAACGGGCGCUAAUACCGCAUACGUCCUGAGGGAGAAAGUGGGGGAUCUUCGGACCUCACGCUAUCAGAUGAGCCUAGGUCGGAUUAGCUAGUUGGUGGGGUAAAGGCCUACCAAGGCGACGAUCCGUAACUGGUCUGAGAGGAUGAUCAGUCACACUGGAACUGAGCCACGGUCCAGACUCCUACGGGAGGCAGCAGUGGGGAAUAUUGGACAAUGGGCGAAAGCCUGAUCCAGCCAUGCCGCGUGUGUGAAGAAGGUCUUCGGAUUGUAAAGCACUUUAAGUUGGGAGGAAGGGCAGUAAGUUAAUACCUUGCUGUUUUGACGCUACCAACAGAAUAAGCACCGGCUAACUUCGUG